GUUGCUUCUCCGCCGGUCGAGGACAACCGACCCCUCCCGUCCGAGGUGAAACCGACGUCGCUGUGUUACCUCUCCGGAGGCACACGUUAAAGAUCGUUCCGCGUUUGCGAGUCUCGACACCGGUUGGAAAACACGUUUACAACCGGUAGCGCUGGAUCCCUUGGCACGUCAUUCGAUGAAGACCGUUGCAAAUUGCGAUAAAGUGAUGUGAUGCGCAAGUCCACCACUUAUACGUGAAUCAUCGAGUUGUUGAACGCACUGCACCGCGCCCUAAACCGGCUGCGGUAUGCCCCUUUGAGCGUCAUUGUUACCCUUCGGGAGUCUUUGCCUUCAGAGACCCCGAGUUCGGAGUCCUUGGUCCUCGUUGGAUCGUGUUCUCUCAGAUCGAUCGCGCCGAUCGUCCGGUGGGUCCUCUAAUGCCUGAGCGUGGAGGGCCUCUGGGGUUUCGAGAGGCGUCCGACCGCGUGUUGAAGCGCCGGUCAGCAAGUCCCGCACGGCUCAGCCCGUCGGUGCUACAGCUUCAUGACCUCAUCGGGGUAGGACAACCCGCUAGACUUAAGCAUAUUAAUCAGCGGAGGAAAAGAAACUAACCAGGAUUCCCUCAGUAACUGCGAGUGAAGCGGGAUCGGC
rnacentral:rRNA from 1 species